AUGUUUCCUGUUGUGGUACUAUUCGUAAGUUGGAACUUGAGUUGGGUUAGACUGGACUGUCACUGGGCCGGGCUGUUCCUUGGUGAAGAAUUUGGUCUGGUUUCGAACAUGGGCCGUCAUCUGCUUCCUUUUUUUUCAAAUGAUAGAGCGAGACCGAUGAGGCAAAUCAUUACAAACCUUUUACUGCUUGGAGCAAUAGUACUUGCAGGGUGCCUUCGGUUACCUGCAUCGUUUUUUGGCACUUUGCAUACUUGUCGCAGUUGGGUCUGGUUGAGCAUGUGCAGCCAAAAAACCCAUCAUAUGCAUGUUUAUGGUUGCCUGCAUCCCCUCUCCUUGCAUCCUAGCAACGGUUCUAUGCAUUGUGUUUGGUUGCUCGCAUUGGCCGUGCUCAUACUAGUGCAUGUUGUUUGGCUGCAUACACUGGACAUGAUUAAGACUUAA
rnacentral:rRNA from 1 species